UACCAGCACCCCGAGUGGUCGGGACGUUUUAUUGGGCCUAAAGCAUCCGUAGCCGGUUCUACAAGUCUUCCGUUAAAUCCAACUGCUUAACAGGUGGGCUGCGGAAGAUACUAUAGAGCUAGGAGGCGGGAGAGGCAAGCGGUACUCGAUGGGUAGGGGUAAAAUCCGUUGAUCCAUUGAAGACCACCAGUGGCGAAGGCGGCUUGCCAGAACGCGCUCGACGGUGAGGGAUGAAAGCUGGGGGAGCAACCGG
rnacentral:rRNA from 1 species